UUGCAGGUGUCAGUCAAUUGUGAGUAAAUUUUCCAUGUCUUAAUGUUAUAAAUAAUGGAAUAUGAAUUGGGAAUCAUACUAAUCUUCUGGGCCAACAAAGUUUAUCAUCUUUCUCUGUCAAUAUUUUUUUUCUUUUCGGGAAGGUUAGAGAAGGAAUUACACGGACUUCUCCCUCCAUCUGUGCCUAAUGGAAUAACAGUCGUUCCCCCUCCAUAUGGUGCAGAUACAGCAUGGUUUGGGGCCAAAACGAUCAGCAAUCUGAGCACCUUCCCCGGCCCUUGGUGCAUGACAAAGAAGCAGUUCCGACAAGUCCAAAAUCAAGCUUAUGUGGUGAAAAAUAAUCUGGUUUGUAUUGGAGCACUGCCGUAGCCUGUAUGUGAUAUGAUGUUGGAUCAAACAGCACUGCCGGAGCCUGCAUGUGAUUCGAGCAGCGAGUUUCUUUUCAGGAACACGUUGAAAUUGGAAUUUUUUAUUUCUACUAUAAUCAUCCUUGAAUAAGAAGAAUUCGACGAUGUAUCUAUAAUCUUACGAUAACUUUUAUAAAUAAAGCAAGUUCAUAUUUCACGUUGAAGGAA